GUAGGUGGCAAGCGUUGUCCGGAAUUAUUGGGCGUAAAGCGCGCGCAGGUGGGUUCUUUAAGUCUGAUGUGAAAGCCCCCGGGCUCAACCCGGGAGGGUCAUUGGAAACUGGGGAACUUGAGUGCAGGAGAGGAAAGUGGAAUUCCACGUGUAGCGGUGAAAUGCGUAGAUAUGUGGAGGAACACCAGUGGCGAAGGCGACUUUCUGGCCUGUAACUGACACUGAGGCGCGAAAGCGUGGGGAGCAAACAGGAUUAGAUACCCUGGUAGUCCACGCCGUAAACGAUGAGUGCUAAGUGUUGGGGGGUUUCCGCCCCUCAGUGCUGCAGCUAACGCAUUAAGCACUCCGCCUGGGGAGUACGGUCGCAAGACUG
rnacentral:rRNA from 1 species